UGGGUGAGCGCCGGAUCCUGGGCUGUGUCCAGCGCCCUGGGUUCCGGGGCCUGCACUGCUGGAAUCGUGCUCCCAGGGCCGCAGCCCCCU
rnacentral:pre_miRNA from 1 species